rnacentral:ncRNA from 1 species
UUUUAAUUUGAUUCUAGUUAGAAAAAUUUAUUACUUAUUUAAAUCACAUGCAAGACCUCCUAACCCGCAAAAACUAUAGAUUCAAUAUUUUAAAUAAGCGCCCGCAGUGAAUAAUCCUAAGAUAAUAACUUUGUUAGUCUUGGUAAAUUAAGUCAUAAUUGGUAAAAUGUGUGCCAGCCACCGCGGUUAUACCCAAAAUUAAAAUAAAUUUCUAAGGGUAUUUCAGAGAUCUCUAAAUUCCUUCAAGGUCCAAUUUUUUAUAAUUUCUCACCAAACAUCUCUCUCUCUCUCUCUCAAAUCAUAAAUAUAAACAAGGAUUAGAUACCCUUCUAUCUAUGACCUAUUUUUAUAUACCCGGGUAGUACAAUUUUUCAAUCUAAACCCAAAGAUCUUGGCGGUAUUUUAUCUCACCAGGGGAGCCUGUAAUUUCAUAUGAUAACCCACAUUUAUCCCCACUAUUUCUAGAUCUCAGCUUAUGUAUGGUCGUCGUAAGUAUAUUUUGAGAAAAUUAUACCCAAUAUUAAAAAAUAAAAUGUCAGAUCUUCAUAUAGCUUAUGAAUUAGGUAUUAUGGGCUACUAUUAAACUAUGAAUAACUUAUUACCUUAUUAGUUAGAAAUCGGACUUGGAAGUAAAAAGUGAAUAAAAUACACUCUUGAAUAUAGUAAUCUAAAAUGUGCACAAAUCGCCCGUCACUCUCGUCGAAAGAGGAGAUAAGUCGUAACAUAGUAGGUGUAAUGGAAAUUGUACCUCAAAAUAU